AUUUAGCUCAGUGGUAGAGCGCUUACCUAGGAAGCGCAAGGCCCUGGGUUCGGUCCCCAGCUUCGAAAAAAAGAACCAAAAAAAAAAAAAAAAAAAAAUUGAUUCAUUGAGUAAAUCCUACUUAGGUACAUUACAACUGCUCAGUCCUACUGAAAACAUCUUAUAGGGCAAACUAUCCAGUAAUAGAAAAAUAAAAAACCAGAUGUGCUCAUAUUAAUACAAAAUCCAGUGCCUUGAGUGCAUCUCCAAAAGUAACUGUAGUUUUAACAGCCAGUAAGAUACGGUAUCAAGAGUCGAGUAAGGGAGCAGCUCAGCUUGUGCUUUAUAACUUCAUCUUUCCACUGUUCUUCAGCAACCAAAACACUGACAACAGAAAUGAUGUAAGACUUUUUAUGUACAUUUGUUUGUUACAUCAUCACAAGAUACUACUAUCUGAGUCAAUCUCUAUAACAGUAAGUUCAUUUCUCCACUCCCAGUUUUUGAAACCUGUUUCUCUGUAUAUUCCUAGCUGUCCUGAACUCUGUAAAACAGGCUGGCCUCACACUCGAGAUCCACAUGAGCGCUGGGACUAAAGGAAUGUACCACUAUGGCCCAGGGAAGAGGGGACUGAGCCAUUCCACCAGCCUCCAGCCUAGGUAACAGAGGAAAACGCCAGUUACAAGGCAAGAGCCGCUCAACUCCACAAGCAAUCUGCUGGCCGGGCACAGUUUCUUCCCCAUGGCCUUCAUCAGAAGUCGGGCCUUGGUUUUAGAGAAUAUGCAGCAAUGGGCCCCACCACCCAGGCAAACCGGUCACAAGGCGGAAAGGGCCCGCACAGCCUGAUGUGAGUAACCGAGGCCUAGAGGCAGCGCCGCGUUCGGGUCAGGUGACAGGCACCUCCCCGAGGCGCCCGUUUUCUGGGCAAGAAGCUCCAUCCACCGCAGAGACCGGAGUAGGGCUGGAGCCACAAGCCCUCCCUCUCCAUUAUCUCCUCGCACCUUUUUCUUCUCAAGGUUCCGAAGUUUCUUGUCGAUCACGCCGAGAAUCUGCUUCAUGGCCUCGGUCUGGACCGCGCCGGUGCCGGUUGCCGGAUGCUGAGAAGCCGGCGCAGCUGCCCCGGCCGCCGCCUCACUCCCGGAGGAACCGGACGGCGGCGGCGGUCCCGACGAUUUGCUGCCGCUUCCGCUGUGGCUGGUGGCCGAGGGCAUCUUUAGA